rnacentral:rRNA from 1 species
ACACGGCCCAAACUCCAACGGGAGGCUGCAGUAGGGAAUCUUCCACAAUGGGCGCAAGCCUGAUGGAGCAACGCCGCGUGUGUGAUGAAGGCUUUCGGGUCGUAAAGCACUGUUGUAUGGGAAGAACGGGUUUAAGAGGAAAUGCUUAGACAGUGACGGUACCAUACCAGAAAGGGACGGCUAAAUACGUGCCAGCAGCCGCGGUAAUACGUAUGUCCCGAGCGUUAUCCGGAUUUAUUGGGCGUAAAGCGAGCGCAGACGGUUGCUUAAGUCUGAAGUGAAAGCCCACAGCUCAACUUGUGGAAUGGCUUUGGAAACUGGGCAACUUGAGUGCAGUAGAGGUAAGUGGAACUCCAUGUGUAGCGGUGGAAUGCGUAGAUAUAUGGAAGAACACCAGUGGCGAAGGCGGCUUACUGGACUGUAACUGACGUUGAGGCUCGAAAGUGUGGGUAGCAAACAGGAUUAGAUACCCUGGUAGUCCACACCGUAAACGAUGGAUACUAGUUGUUAGAGGGUUUCCGCCCUUUAGUGACGAAGCAAACGCAUUAAGUAUCCCGCCUGGGGAGUACGACCGCAAGGUUGAAACUCAAAGGAAUUGACGGGGACCCGCACAAGCGGUGGAGCAUGUGGUUUAAUUCGAAGCAACGCGAAGAACCUUACCAGGUCUUGACAUCCUUUGAAGGUACUAGAGAUAGUACUGUCUUCUUCGGAAGCAAAGUGACAGGUGGUGCAUGGCCGUCGUCAGCUCGUGUCGUGAGAUGUUGGGUUAAGUCCCGCAACGAGCGCAACCCUUAUGUUUAGUUGCCAGCAUUCAGUUGGGCACUCUAGACAGACUGCCGGUGACAAACCGGAGGAAGGCGGGGACGACGUCAGGUCAUCAUGCCCCUUAUGACCUGGGCUACACACGUGCUACAAUGGCGUAUACAACGAGCAGCAAACCUGUGAAGGUAAGCGAAUCUCUUAAAGUACGUCUCAGUUCGGAUUGUAGUCUGCAACUCGACUACAUGAAGUCGGAAUCGCUAGUAAUCGCGGAUCAGCAUGCCGCGGUGAAUACGUUCCCGGGUCUUGUACACACCGCCCGUCACACCAUGGGAGUUGGUAAUGCCC